GAUGAACGCUAGCGGGAGGCCUAACACAUGCAAGUCGAGGGGUAGCAGGAAAGCUUGCUUUUGCUGACGACCGGCGCACGGGUGAGUAACGCGUAUGUAAUCUGCCUUAUACUAAGGGAUAGCCCGCUGAAAAGCGGAUUAAUACCUUAUAGUUUAUAGUUGUCGCAUGGCAAUUAUAAUAAAGCUCUGGCGGUAUAAGAUGAACAUGCGUCCCAUUAGCUAGUUGGUGAGGUAACGGCUCACCAAGGCUACGAUGGGUAGGGGUUCUGAGAGGAUUAUCCCCCACACUGGUACUGAGACACGGACCAGACUCCUACGGGAGGCAGCAGUGAGGAAUAUUGGUCAAUGGGCGCAAGCCUGAACCAGCCAUCCCGCGUGAAGGAUGACGGCCCUAUGGGUUGUAAACUUCUUUUAUACACCAAGAAACCCAUCUACGUGUAGAUGUCUGACGGUAGUGUAUGAAUAAGCACCGGCUAACUCCG
rnacentral:rRNA from 1 species